CAACUCGGCUGCAUGAAGCCGGAAUCGCUAGUAAUCGCGGAUCAGAAUGUCGCGGUGAAUACGUUCCCGGGUCUUGUACACACCGCCCGUCACACCAUGGGAGUCAGCAACGCCCGAAGUCAGUGACCUAACCGAAAGGGAGGAGCUGCCGAAGGCGGGGCCGGUAACUGGGGUGAAGUCGUAACAAGGUAUC
rnacentral:rRNA from 1 species